rnacentral:rRNA from 1 species
CAGUGCCGCGGUAAUACGAAGGGUGCAAGCGUUACUCGGAAUUACUGGGCGUAAAGCGUGCGUAGGUGGUGGUUUAAGUCCGUUGUGAAAGCCCUGGGCUUAACCUGGGAAUUGCAGUGGAUACUGGGUCACUAGAGUGUGGUAGAGGAUAGUGGAAUUUCCGGUGUAGCAGUGAAAUGCGUAGAGAUCGGAAGGAACAUCUGUGGCGAAGGCGACUAUCUGGGCCAACACUGACACUGAGGCACGAAAGCGUGGGGAGCAAACAGGAUUAGAUACCCCCGUAGUCCCUGUCUCUUAUACA